rnacentral:rRNA from 1 species
UACAGAGGUCUCGAGCGUUAGGCGGAAUCACUGGGCUUAAAGCGUGUGUAGGCGGAUCGUUAAGUGCCUUGUGAAAUCCCACGGCUUAACCGUGGAACUGCUUGGCAUACUGGCGGUCUUGAGCAACCUAGGGGCGAGCGGAACAAAUGGUGGGGCGGUGAAAUGCGUAGAUAUCAUUUGGAACGCCAAUGGUGAAAACAGCUCGCUGGGGGUUUGCUGACGCUGAGACACGAAAGCCAGGGGAGCGAACGGG